UACGAAGGGAGCUAGCGUUGUUCGGAAUCACUGGGCGUAAAGCGCACGUAGGCGGAUUUGCCAGUCAGGGGUGAAAUCCCGGGGCUCAACCUCGGAACUGCCUUUGAUACAGCAAGUCUUGAGUUCGAGAGAGGUGGGUGGAAUUCCUAGUGUAGAGGUGAAAUUCGUAGAUAUUAGGAAGAACACCGGUGGCGAAGGCGGCCCACUGGCUCGACACUGACGCUGAGGUGCGAAAGCGUGGGGAGCAGCACGAGU
rnacentral:rRNA from 1 species